AUAUAACUAUACUGUUUCAUUUACUUGUAGCUAAACAAAAAAAUCUGAAUUGGAAUCUUCAUCCCUUGAACCUGUUGAGUAAAACUCAACUUGACAUGAAGCGGUUUCUUCUGUUUUCAUGUCAGGUGACGCCAGUCAUCUUUGUUUUUAUUUUUACAAAUAAGGGAACAGUAAAUUUUGGUGCAAUAACAACAAUAACAACCAAAUGUACAAUGUAGACUAAAAUUGGCAAGUUAAAAAAAAUGUAAUACUUUUUCUGCUUUGGCUAGUGUGAUCGUAGUUCCGUCUCUAUGUCAGCUGACUACAGUCCACGACAAUCCACUUUAAUGACACACAUCUACUUUGUUUUAGGGCAGUAUUGCAUGUAAGCAUCAUACCUUAUGUGUAACUUCCAUGAAUAUGGCUAUAUUCUUUCUUUUUUCAAUUGAUAGUGCCCUCCUCUACAUAUCCAUCUGUUGUAUAUGAAGAAGCGUUAGGGCCACUGUAUUACAACCACUAGAUGGUAAUUUUUACCCAGUCACAGACUAAAUUUCAAUGCUUAACUGGCUCAUAAGCACUGUCCACUAUUUCACUAUUCCACUAUACUUGCAUAUUUCCAUUAUA